CUCUACGGAGGGAGUAGUGUAGAAUUUUUGGAUAAGGCAAGGAAGAAGCCUUGGGAAUUGGGAUGACUGAUGGUGCAUCGCGCCGCGUGACCGUGGUCGGUCACCGGUACCCGCGUGGGAGCCUCCCUCCCGGGGAGUUUCCGGGAAGCUGCCGCCGCCGCCGCCCCGCAAACCGCGACCACAAAGCGGCUUGACCCACGCAGACGGACUGACGGACGCUGCCUCUCCUCCUCACUCUCGCGGGCGACUUGUGGCGGCGGCUGGCGAACGAGAGCGUCGAAGGCGGCAGAGAAGUACAACAAAGAGCAGCAAACUGGAGCCAUCCUUCGAGUCUCGAUCCUCUGAGUAGACUGCCAUGGCGCUGUGGACAGGGCUGGGUCAGGCGGCGACAGUGGCGCAGCUGGUCGGUGCGGACGUCGGCGGCCUCAUCUCCAUGAUUGUGCAGGCCGCGAUGACGGCUCGUCAGAACAAGAGUGAGUGUGAGCAACUUGCUCGUCGUGUCCUCAUGAUCGCGCAGCUGCUGCCGCACGUGCAGGAGCCGGAGCCGGAGGCGGCGCAGCCGCUGGCCGGGCUGGGCGAUGCUCUUCGAGACGCCCACGAGCUCGUUGUGUCCUGCCAGGGGAGGGGCGCGGCGUACCAGUUCGUUAUGGCUGGCAGGACGGCCGAGAGGUUCAGGGAGGUUCAGAGCAAGAUUGACUCCUACCUAAUCCUCUUCCCGGUGAUCAGCCACAUCGGCAUAACACGCCGCCUUGAUCGAAUCUACAAUGUACUUGUUCAAGAUGGCUCCACCAGAGAUGAACCGUCUCGACUUCCACAGUCGUCCCAGUUGCAGGAGUCUGCGGAGGUUGUUCAGGAGGUACUAUCGCAAGGAAUCAAGGAGUUCACGUUGGCGGAGAUCAUAGCUGCCACCAAAAACUUCGCCCAUGACACAAUGAUGGGUUACGGCAGCCAUGGAAGGGUGUACAGGGGGAGGCUUCACGAUGGACGAGAGGUGGCCAUCAAACGCAUGUCAGAAAACAUACAGCUGGAGGACUUCCGCACGGAGCUUGACGUCGUAGCACAGCUACAACACAAGCAUAUCAUCCACCUCCUUGGAUGGUGUGUGAGCAGUAAGGGCAAGCGCCUGCUAACCCGGCGAACAAAGGAGUUAGAAAGGCUGAUCGUGUACGAGUACAUGGAGAAUGGCACGCUCUUCGACCACCUGCACCGAAAUCAGGCCGGCUCCUCUAUGCCGUCACCGGUGACGAUGUCUUGGAAGAUGCGCAUCGAUGUGCUCCUCCGUGUUUCACAAGCAAUAGAGUACAUGCACUGUCAUUCCAACCCUCUGAUCAUCCACCGUGACAUCAAGUCAAGUAACAUCCUUUUCGAUGUUAGUUGGGUGCCUCAUGUUUCAGAUUUUGGCUUGUCAGUCGUCUGGGACAUGGCGAGUGAGGUGUCGUGGUUGGAUGUCACCGUUAGAGGCACACUUGGGUACAUCGACCUUGAGUACCUUCACACAGGUCAUCUGAAGCCGGCGAGUGACGUGUACAGCCUCGGCGUGGUUAUGCUUGAGGUUCUGACAGGGAAAAAGGCGUUUUCCCAAGCAAAGGAGGAGAUGAAUAGAGAUCUGGCAUCCUUUGCAAUCCCCGUCAUUGAGGCCGGAAAUAUUGAGGAGAUGCUAGAUAGGCGACCUGUACCAGAGCCAAUGCCAUGGCACCUGCACGCAUUGAAGCGUGUGGCGCAGAUUGCACGAUGCUGCGUGAAGUUUGCCGGGAAGGACCGGCCUGCAAUAUCAGGCAUCGUUGCCAACCUCGAGACGGCAUGCGAGUUGAUCUGCAGAGAUGAGCCAGAUUCAGUUGACAAGUCUGGUUUGUGGCCCUUCCUUGAAAAAGUUGACGACUCACCAGACUCUCCACAUGCCAGGAGCAUGCCUCUGUUCUGAUCUGGAACCUGAGGUGCUGGAGGAUGGGCCUUGGCACCAAUCGUCCAAGGUGCAUUAUACCGUGGCAGGCUUCACGGCCGGUGACCAAGUGGCCGUCAAUCACAUUAGCCACCCGACGAGCAUCAUUAGGUAAUCCCACGGUUCUAGUAAUCUGCAGGCUUAAGACAGAGCAUGGGAUGGACUCACACUAUUAUGUAUAGUUUGCUUCUACACCACCCACCCUACCUUUUCUUUUGAAUCCCAGAACCAUAGACCAAUUGUUUUACGGCAUUUUCAUACAGUAAUUAAAUAAAGUACAUAUGUACAAAUGAAGCAAAAUACAAGAAAGGUUUAUCCAAUACCAGCCCUAGGUAACAUAGAAAUUGGAGUAAGAGACGAUAAUAAAGUUGGUACUGUGGACAAAGAAUGAAUGAAUGAUGCUGCGGAUGUCGUUAUAUAUGUAAUGUAGUGUCGUGGCCAUAGUUUAGAAGCCUGAUGUAGGAUGUACUGCUUUCUGUUUCUUCGUAGAAGAGUUGCAGUCUUGUAUGCAGAAGCUCAGAAACCUCAAUAAGCAGGCAUAGUUGGCUGGGGUAGAGUUCCCCUUCAGCUGAUUUUGGAUCUGGUUGUCUUAUCAAUUUCAGAUGAAAUGAAAUUGGGGGGCUGAUGCUCCUUUUAUCGAAAUUAUUAAAAAAUAAAUAAGAAAUCGGUGCUGGUGCGACAAGUCCAACGUGUGCCUCUUCUUGGGCGUUCCAUGUGAUCUUUAAAACAAUUGCUUUCUUGUCCUAGUGAAGCCUAAGGGGGAGAUGGGCGUGCUUUCUUUUGCGGCAAUGUUGGCUACCUGUAGAAGGUGCCUGUUGUUUCACCUUUAGUGCCACAUUGCUAGUUUAUUCAGAGUUACUUCCUGACCCAAUAAGUAAUACUUCCAGGGUUUAUUCUUUGACAUGUAACGAGAAAAGUGUAAAUGGAGCCGUUUUUUUAGCCGUCGUGUUACAUUGUUGCUACACAAGAGUUAUAUUCAGCUAGGGCUUGAACAUGGGUGGCCUCCUCACUUUGGUAGCCUGCUCGAAAGAAUAGGCCAUCUCGAUCAGCCUCGGCUCAUACCCCUGCAGCCCGCCGAAGCAUAUCCCGAAGGGGAACCCCUUCUCGUCGUACCCCGCCAGCACAACGAUGCCAAGGUGGCCGCUGAUGGCGAGAAGGCUGGAAAUGUCGCUGUUAGGCGCCACGAUCGCGUCCAAUUGGCGCUCCAUCGUUAGCUUCUGUAGCCCAUUCGCGUUCAGCUCCUUCAGGCUACGGAUCGCGGCUCUCUCUACGGGCCCAAUGCCGUUUGUGCUUUGGGCAGCGAUAAGAUCAGGCUGCCCGAAAUCUUUCAGCCUCUCCUGCACCAACAUGUAAAUAAAUUUUGGAAGAGCCUACAUAAAGAAUAAGUUCCAUUAACUGCCGUGUUGAUUCUACCUAUGCAUGUUUCAGUUGUUUUAUUGCCUCAUGAUCUAUGCAGCAGGAAUCUAUAAGCAAAACUGAGAUUUUUUUUGACAGACCUAGAUCUACAGUAUAUUGUUUGAAUAACAAGAAGUGAACCACCUGCCAUUGGACACAAGCAGGGCAAAUCAUCUGACCCAUGGUAAAGUGUGGCAAAUAAUCUAAUCCCCCGAAAUAUGGAUUCAGUUGGGUCUUUUGGUGCACUUACACUAGUAGAAAAGAGGGCUUUGGUUCAGGCCGGGUCAGCCCAUUAGUCCCGGUUCAGUCCAGAACCGGGACCAAUGGGGGCACUGGUCCCGGUUCGUGAGGCCAGGGGCCUGCCGGGCCUCGUGGGGGCAUUGGUCCCGGUUCGUCUGGCCCCUUUGGUUCCGGUUGGUGGGACGAACUGAGACCAAUGGGCCUCGCUCCUGGCCCACCACCAUUGGUCCCGGUUGGUGGCUUGAACCGGGACCACAGGCUGCCUUUUAGUCCCGGUUCAUGCCACGAACUGGGACCAAUGAGGUGCCUAUAUAUACCCCUCGUCCGCGAGCAGAGCACUCCAGUGCUCUGUUUUUCUCUAGCCGGCGAGGGGAGGGCUUUGUGGUGCUCUAGCUCACCUUCUAUGCACAUGAGGUGUUCGAUGAAAUGCCCGAGCCACACUAGUUAAGCUUUCUCCUCUCGAAGCUCGACCUCAAAGCUCCAUUUUCCUUGAGAUUCGUCUAGGUUUAGCGGCCCGUCACGUCCCAUUCCCGUCUUCACCUCUGUCGAUCGCCCGCGCCGAUCUCGUCGCCGGCACCACCGUGGUGAGCCUCUUAUUCUUAUCUUCUUUCUGAAAGAAAAAAAAUUCUUACUUUAGAUAGAUACUUGUCUAAUUUUCUUACUAUUUUAUUGCUUGUUAUUAUAUAGUGCGAUGGUUUUGGUAUCCGCCCCCGUCGGCCCUCGUCCUGUCUAUGAUUCGGAUGUGGAAGUAUGUGAACCGGAAAUUCCAACCGACCCUAUUGUCGAGAGGUUAAAUUUAGUUGAAGAAGAAAACAAUUUCUUGAAGGAAAAAAAUUGAGGAGGAGAAGAUGAUAUUGGAGUUGCAUGUUGUGGAUGUCGUCGAUGAUCACAAGAUCAAGAUGGAUGUAAUGCGCUUGAAGAUUAGAAAGAUUAGAAAAUAUGCCAUUCAUACCGAGGCUUGGUAUCAUUAUGCCGUUGGAUCAAUUGUUACCUUGGUUGCGAUUAUGAUCGCAUUUGUUUUCGCAUUGAAAUGUUUUACAUAGUUUCAAUGUAUGAUUUAAUUAAUUAGAUGCUUUGGAGAGCUAUAUGUUGUUAGAUGAGAACUAUGUAUGUACUUUGGUUUUAAUGUGAUGAUGAACUUCUAUUAAUUUGGUCACUUAAUUAUCUAUU
rnacentral:rRNA from 1 species